GACGGAGGGUGCUAGCGUCGUUCGGAAUUACUGGGCGUAAAGGGCGCGUAGGCGGCCCUGUCAGUCGGGUGUGAAAGCCCGGGGCUCAACCCCGGAACGGCACCCGAGACGGCGGGGCUGGAGACCGGGAGAGGAGGGUGGAAUAGCCAGUGUAGAGGUGAAAUUCGUAGAUAUUGGCUGGAACACCGGUGGCGAAAGCGGCUCUCUGGCCCGGUUCUGACGCUGAGGCGCGAAAGCGUGGGGAGCAAACAGG
rnacentral:rRNA from 1 species